UACGUAGGGUGCAAGCGUUAAUCGGAAUUACUGGGCGUAAAGCGUGCGCAGGCGGUUGUGCAAGACAGAUGUGAAAAUCCCCCGGGCUCAACCUGGGAAUUGCAUUUGUGACUGCACGGCUAGAGUGUGUCAGAGGGGGGGUAGAAUUCCACGUGUAGCAGUGAAAAUGCGUAGAUAUGUGGAGGGAACACCGAUGGCGGAAAGGCAGCCCCCUCGUGGCAACACUGACGCUCAUGCACGAAAGCGUGGGGAGCAAAC
rnacentral:rRNA from 1 species